rnacentral:rRNA from 2 species
GUUUCGGUGGUCAUAGCGGGAGGGAAACGCCCGGUUACUUCCCGAACCCGGAAGCUAAGCCUCACAGCGCCAAUGGUACUGCAGG